AUCUAACAUGAAUGUUCACAAAUCAAACCACUAAUUAUAUCAAUCAAAUCUAUAUUUAGGAGUUAAUCAUGGGAAAAAGUUCUUCACUGGUUUUUGGCUUCUGCUUUGUUGUGUACAUGGUUCUCCAAUCCGCCUAUGUCAAUGGCAUAGAUUCCUCAGGACUAUGUGAUGCCGACCAGCAGGUACCUAUUGGAAAAUAUUUGUCUUGUAAGUCCUGCGAAUUUGCUUGCAAGAGCGCAUCAUUUACUCUUACUUCAAUAUGCGCAUCUGAUACUACCAACACAACAUUAUACACCUGCAAAUGUUGCGUAUCUGGCAGCAGAAGUGCCGCAGCAGCAGCAACAAGAAGUUCCUUUAUUUUUGUUUCCUUCUCCUUAUUUUUGAGUUUCAUGAUGAACGGGUUGAUUAAUUAGUUUAAUUGGUCAUCCCAGAUCAUCGAUUGUUAUUUGAACCAUGUUGAAUAAAAGGCCACCCGAGUGGCACAGGAGCAACAACAGCAACAACUUCCUUUGCUUUGCUUUCUUUUUCCCUGAUUUUUAGUUUCAUGUUGAACAUUUUGUUCAUCUAGGUAGCCCCUUGAUAGAUCCGUCACUAUCCCAAACAAUAUACUGGCAAUUACAUAAUUUACAUUCCAGUCUAACUGCCAGACCAUUGUAAACAAAGCACCAUAUGAAUAUAUGAAUACUGUACAUUGAUCAUUGAAGGAUAAUGUUAAACAAUAAUAAUAUUGAAAA